rnacentral:misc_RNA from 1 species
GAUGAAGAACGCAGCGAAAUGCGAUAAGUAAUGUGAAUUGCAGAAUUCAGUGAAUCAUCGAAUCUUUGAACGCACAUUGCGCCCCUUGGUAUUCCAUGGGGCAUGCCUGUUCGAGCGUCAUUUGUACCUUCAAGCUCUGCUUGGUGUUGGGUGUUUGUCUCGCCUCUGCGUGUAGACUCGCCUCAAAACAAUUGGCAGCCGGCGUAUUGAUUUCGGAGCGCAGUACAUCUCGCGCUUUGCACUCAUAACGACGACGUCCAAAAGUACAUUUUUACACUCUUGACCUCGGAUCAGGUAGGGAUACCCGCUGAACUUAAGCAUAUCAAUCAGCGGAGGA